rnacentral:rRNA from 1 species
CCCUUAGAUGUUCUGGGCCGCACGCGUGCUACACUGAGUGGAUCAGCGGGUCAGGUUGCGCGAAAGCGUUUCCUAAUCUUUAAAUCCGCUCGUGAUGGGGAUUGACGGUUGCAAUUUUCUGUCAUGAACGAGGAAUACCUUGUAAGCGCGGGUCAUCAUCCCGCGCUGAAUACGUCCCUGCCCUUUGUACACACCGCCCGUCGCUCCUACCGAUUGAGUGGUCCGGUGAGGCUUUGGGAUCUGAGCGGAAAGAGCGUUUCGCUGUUUCUACUCGGAAAACUCAGUCGAACCUUAUCAUUUAGAGGAAGGAGAAGUCGUAACA